rnacentral:lncRNA from 1 species
CCGCGGCCUCUUCCAUGACCAGUCUGUCCCAAAGCUUUUCCCCUACCACUUGAUGCAGGUGGUGGUGGUGGCACACUGGACACCUUUGCACCUGGCAGCCGUGCACCUGGUGGUGGAGGAGGCACAGCAGGACCUUUCGGUGGAGGAGGUGGAGGGGGCACAGCAUGACCUUUCAGUGGAGGGGGUGGAGGGGGCACCGCAGAACCUUUCGGUGGAGGUGGAGGAGGGGGUGCAGUAGGAGCUUUUCGGGUGGAGGGGGUGGAGGGGCGCUGGAGGGCUUUGGUGGAGGGGGUGGAGGAGCUUUUUGGAGGAGGGGGUGGAGGGGGCGCUGGAGGAGCUUUUGGUAGAGGGGGUGGAGGGGGCGCUGGAGGAGCUUUUGGUGGAGGGGUGGAGGAGGAAUAGAACCUGGCCUUGCAAGUCCUGCAAUUGGCGGAGGUGGAGGCGGGGGAGGGACAAUAGUAUUAUGGCAUUGGACAGAUAGGGCAGAUCCCU